rnacentral:rRNA from 1 species
AGAGUUUGAUCAUGGCUCAGGACGAACGCUGGCGGCGUGCUUAACACAUGCAAGUCGAACGGUGAACCAGGGCUUGCCCUGGGGAUCAGUGGCGAACGGGUGAGUAACACGUGGGCAACCUGCCCCUGACUCUGGGAUAACUCCUCGAAAGAGGUGCUAAUACCGGAUACGACCACUUCGGGCAUCCGAUGGUGGUGGAAAGAAUUUUGGUCAGGGAUGGGCCCGCGGCCUAUCAGCUUGUUGGUGGGGUAACGGGCCCACCAAGGCGACGACGGGUAGCCGGCCUGAGAGGGCGACCGGCCACACUGGGACUGAGACACGGCCCAGACUCCUACGGGAGGCAGCAGUGGGGAAUAUUGCGCAAUGGGCGAAAGCCUGACGCAGCGACGCCGCGUGAGGGACGACGGCCUUCGGGUUGUAAACCUCUUUCAGCAGGGACGAAGCGAAAGUGACGGUACCUGCAGAAGAAGCACCGGCUAACUACGUG